rnacentral:rRNA from 2 species
UGGCGGGUGCUAAUAAUGCAAGUCGACCGAAUGGAUUAAGAGCUUGCUCUCAAGAAGUUAGCGGCCGACGGGUGAGUAACACGUGGGUAACCUGCCCAUAAGACUGGGAUAACUCCGGGAAACCGGGGCUAAUACCGGAUAACAUUUUGAACUGCAUGGUUCGAAAUUGAAAGGCGGCUUCGGCUGUCACUUAUGGAUGGACCCGCGUCGCAUUAGCUAGUUGGUGAGGUAACGGCUCACCAAGGCAACGAUGCGUAUCCGACCUGAGAGGGUGAUCGGCCACACUGGGACUGAGACACGGCCCACACUCCUACGGGAGGCAGCAGUAGGGAAUCUUCCGCAAUGGACGAAAGUCUGACGGAACAACGCCGCGUGAGUGAUGAAGGCUUUCGGGUCGUAAAACUCUGUUGUUAGGGAAGAACAAGUGCUACUUGAAUAAACUGGCACCUUGACGGUACCUAACCAGAAAGCCACGGCUAACUACGUGCCAACAGCCGCGGUAAUACGUAGGUGGCAAGCGUUAUCCGGAAUAUUGGGCGUAAAGCGCGCGCAGGUGGUUUCUUAAGUCUGAUGUGAAAGCCCACGGCUCAACCGUGGAGGGUCAUUGGAAACUGGGAGACUUGAGUGCAUAAAAGGAAAGUGGAAUUCCAUGUGUAGCGGUGAAAUGCGUAGAGAUAUGGAGGAACACCAUUGGCGAAGGCGACUUUCUGGUCUGUAACUGACACUGAGGCGCGAAAGCGUGGGGAGCAAACAGGAUUAAAUACCCUGGUA